rnacentral:rRNA from 1 species
CCCUUAGAUGUCCGGGGCUGCACGCGCGCUACACUGUAGAAAGCAGCGUGCUUUAAAACCUUUCCUGAAAAGGAUGGGUAACCCCAGCAAAAUUCUACGUGCUUGGGAUAGAGAUUUGCAAUUUUCUCUCUUGAACGAGGAAUUCCUAGUAAGCACGAGUCAUCAGCUCGUGCUGAUUACGUCCCUGCCCUUUGUACACACCGCCCGUCGCUACUACCGAUUGAAUGGCUUAGUGAGGCCCUCGGAUUGAGCCAAGGCUCCUUCACGGGAGCUCUGGAUUGAGAAGUUGGUCAAACUUGGUCAUUUAGAGGAAGUAAAAGUCGUAACA